rnacentral:rRNA from 1 species
UACAGAGGUCUCAAGCGUUGUUCGGAUUCAUUGGGCGUAAAGGGUGCGUAGGCGGCGCGGUAAGUCGGGUGUGAAAUCUCGGAGCUUAACUUCGAAACUGCAUUCGAUACUGCCGUGCUUGAGGACUGGAGAGGAGACUGGAAUUUGCGGUGUAGCGGUGAAAUGCGUAGAUAUCGUAAGGAAGACCAGUGGCGAAGGCGGGUCUCUGGACAGUUCCUGACGCUGAGGCACGAAGGCCAGGGGAGCAAACAGG